GCCCGACUGGCUCAGUUGGUAGAGUGUGUGACUCUUGAUCUCAGAGUCAUGAUUUCGCUCCUCCUGUUGGGCA
rnacentral:tRNA from 1 species